CCCAGGAUGGCCGAGUGGUUAUGGCGUCAGGCUUGAAAUGACACUCGACACCAGUCUCCUCAGCAGGUGGUUGCUACCUGAUUCACGGGUGUGAUCGCAGGCUCGAAUCCUGCUCCUAGAU